rnacentral:rRNA from 1 species
CUACGGAGGGUGCAAGCGUUACUCGGAAUCACUGGGCGUAAAGCGCGCGCAGGCGGCUACUUAAGUUGGAUGUGAAAGCCUACGGCUCAACCGUAGAACUGCAUCCAAAACUAUUUAGCUAGAGUGUGAGAGAGGAAGAUGGAAUUAGUUGUGUAGGGGUAAAAUCCGUAGAGAUAACUAGGAAUACCAAAAGCGAAGGCAAUCUUCUGGAACACUACUGACGCUGAGGCGCGAAAGCGUGGGGAGCAAACAGAAUUAGAUACCCUAGUAGUCC